rnacentral:rRNA from 1 species
AUUUGGAAGUCCAAGAUUCCACUAAAAGUGAAAAUCUUUAUGUGGUAUAUUCGUAGGGGAGUUGUGUUAACGAAAGACAACCUCGCACGGCGCAACUGGCCAGGGAGUAAGAAGUGUUGUUUCUGUACUCAUGACGAGACAAUCAAACACCUCUUCUUUCAAUGCAAGUUUGCACGUUCUACGUGGUCAGUCAUCCAAAUAGCGUCAAAUUUAUAUCCGCCCAUAAAUGUUGGCAAUAUUUUUGGUCAUUGGUUGGACGGAAUACCAAAUAGGUUCAAAACGCUAAUAAGGAUGGGAGCAUAUGCCUUAAUUUGGUCGCUUUGGCUAUGUAGAAACGAUUUGAUUUUUAAUGACAAAAAUGCUUCUCCUCUACAAGUUAUUUUCCGGUGUACACACUCGCUACGUACAUAG